rnacentral:lncRNA from 1 species
GGGCUGAUUCAAAGGAUGGAAAGCUUGAUUGGGCAUGAUCAAGCAUGAUGCAACAGCUGGAGAUGCAAGCGAUGAAGAUUCGAUGGCUGGGAGGCAUCUAGAGUUCAAUUCGGAGUCUUGUCUCUGAUCUAAGCUAGGUUUUGGGGUUUUAAAAGGCCCUGUGUGCAAAUAGAACCAGAGAUACAAGUAGAGACAUGGCAGAGA